AUGAGAUACUGGUCUGGUGUAUGUGGACAUCUGGAAAGUCAUCCAGUAAAAAUACUUUUGAAGGAAUGUUGGGAGUAUGAAUACAAAGAAAUAGAAAGCUUUGGUUGGGUAGUAGGGAAGGAGGCAAAUAGCUUGGGAUUGAAAGAAUAUUUAAUAGCCCCUUCUGUUCCAAUACCAGCAAUUCCCCCUUGGAUGUAUCCUAUGCCAUUAAUUGACUUACAAAUACAUAAAGAAAUAAAUAAUCAAAUAAGCAUACCAACUAAGUUAGUAGUUGAACAGUAUGUAAAUCGAGAAUAUUAUUCAGUAUUACAGGUAUUUACAGAUGGGUCAAAGGAACCAGAGUCUUGUAGAACAGCAGCAGCAGUAUUCAUUCCUACAUUUAAUAUAAAAAUUGCAAAAAGAUUAUCGGAUCAUGUGUCAGUAUUUACUACUGAAUUACUAGCUAUCAUAUUAGCAAUACAGUGGAUUGAAGAAGUUCAACCAUCAAGAAUUGUGAUAUGUACGGAUUCAAUGGCUGCUCUCACUAGUCUUAUGAGUGGAAAAUCGGAAUCUCGACAAGAUUUAAUAUUUGAAGUUUUGCAAGGUUUAUUUAGAGCAAGGCAGUUAGGGGUAUUGGUAUUCUUCCUCUGGGUGCCAGCACAUGUGGGUGUGGAUGGUAAUGAGGAGGUAGAUAAGUUGGCAAAGAAAGCAUUAAAGCAUCCACAAAUAGAAAUUAAUGUAUCAUUAAGUAAAUCAGAAAUCAAGAGGUUAAUAGCAAUUGAAAUUAGUAAAAAAUGGCAAAAGAUAUGGAAUAAUGACUCUAAAGGAAGACAUCUUUAUCAAAUUCAGGAACGGGUUGGAAAUGAGAGGAAAAGAUAUGGAAAUAGGAAAAAAGAUGUCAUUAUUACAAGGUUAAGAAUUGGUCACACUGCAUUAAAUUAUAGUCUUUAUAAAAUAGGGAAACAUGAUACAGGAAAAUGUGACAAUUGCGGGGAGUUAGAAACAGUGCAGCAUAUUCUUUUAGAAUGUGCUGCAUAUGAAAGGGAGAGACAACAGUUAAGUCAAGAGUUAGGAAGGAUGGGAGUUGAUACAAUUUCAAUAAAAGUAUUACUAGGAAAUGGGAUAAGACAAUCAAGAAUUCAUGAAUUAUUAUUUAAAUAUCUAAAUAAAACAGGAAUAGUAAAUAGAAUUUAA
ensembl:lncRNA